UGCCAGCAGCCGCGGUAAUACGGAGGGUGCGAACGUUAAUCGGAAUUACUGGGCGUAAAGCGCGCGUAGGCGGUUUAUUAAGUGGGAUGUGAAAGCCCCGGGCUCAACCUGGGAACUGCAUUCCAAACUGAUGAACUAGAGUACGAGAGAGGGGGGUAGAAUUCAGAGUGUAGCGGUGAAAUGCGUAGAUAUUCUGAGGAAUACCAGUGGCGAAGGCGGCCCCCUGGCACUUGUCUGACACUGAGGCGCGAAAGCGUGGUUAGCGAACAGGAUUAGAUA
rnacentral:rRNA from 1 species